rnacentral:rRNA from 1 species
UACGAAGGUUGCGAGCGUUGUUCGGAAUCACUGGGCUUAAAGCGCAUGUAGGCGGCUCAUCAAGUGCUUUGUGAAAUCCCACGGCUCAACCGUGGAAUUGCUUGGCAUACUGUUAGAGCUUGAGGCAGGUAGGGGCGCGUGGAACUCUUGGUGGAGCGGUGGAAUGCGUAGAUAUCAAGAGGAACGCCGGUGGCGAAAGCGGCGCGCUGGGCCUGUCCUGACGCUGAGAUGCGAAAGCCAGGGGAGCAAACGGG